rnacentral:rRNA from 1 species
AUGGAGGUGCAGGCCCAAGUACUUCGAAUCAUCAACAAGAAAUCCAAGAAAGAACAGCGAAGGAAAAACGUGACAAGAAAAGUGUUUUCUCGACUCGAGAUGUUUGAAGGUGCUAAAUCAAUAGGUGCCAGAGCUGCUACAAUUGCUUUAGCCGGAGCUGCUGUCGGUAUUGGAAAUGUCCUCAGUUCUUUGAUUCAUUCCGUGGCGCGAAAUCCAUCAUUGGCUAAACAAUCAUUUGGUUAUGCCAUUCUGGGCUUUGCUCUCACCGAAGCUAUUGCAUUGUUUGCCCCAAUGAUGGCCUUUCUGAUCUCAUUCGUUUUCCGAUCACAUAAAAAGGAAUUGCAACUC